ensembl:lncRNA
UUGCUAGUCACCCUAAUCAUAAUUUAGUUGUAAUUGAACAGGAGUAAUUGAAGAUGUAAUUGUACUUGGUGUUACACCCAAUGUUUAAAGGGACCCAGAGGAAAACCUGGAGAGCCUGGUCCUGCAGGCCCAGUUGGUCCUCAGGGACCCAGAGGAGAGAGUGGCAUCAUUGGUUUCCAAGGACCAAAGGGCGACAAGGGAGAUGUUGGACAGUCUGGAUCACCUGGUUUGGAUGGCCCUACGGGGGAGAAGGGGGCGACAGGGUCCCCUGGCCCUAUCGGACUACCCGGCUCAAUGGUAUGUACAUCAGUCUAGAGACAGUGUGUCAAUGACAAACAUUUUCAACAUGUGGUUUGUGUUGUCUUAGGGUACAAAGGGUGACCCAG